rnacentral:snoRNA from 1 species
ACGACCUUACUUGAACAGGAUCCUUUACCAAUAAGGAGGCAAGCACUUCAGUAUGGUUGAUGAAGUCUGACCACUGGGCCAGAGCGUGAUUAACGGCUCAGAUUUUACCUGAUCGGUAAAUCUGACGGCUGUAGAGGAUCGUUCCUGCCUGGCUCACACCUGUGCAGGGCGGCCCAGUGGUUGUCUGACAGACA